GCCUCAGUAGCUCAGCCUGGCAGAGCGACCGCCUUGUAAGCGGUAGGUCGAGGGUUCAAAUCCCUCCUGGGGCU
rnacentral:tRNA from 1 species